AUUGAACGCUGGCGGCAGGCUUAACACAUGCAAGUCGAGCGGAGAUGAGGUGCUUGCACCUUAUCUUAGCGGCGGACGGGUGAGUAAUGCUUAGGAAUCUGCCUAUUAGUGGGGGACAACAUUCCGAAAGGGAUGCUAAUACCGCAUACGUCCUACGGGAGAAAGCAGGGGAUCUUCGGACCUCGCGCUAAUAGAUGAGCCUAAGUCGGAUUAGCUAGUUGGUGGGGUAAAGGCCUACCAAGGCGACGAUCUGUAGCGGGUCUGAGAGGAUGAUCCGCCACACUGGGACUGAGACACGGCCCAGACUCCUACGGGAGGCAGCAGUGGGAAUAUUGGACAAUGGGGGGAACCCUGAUCCAGCCAUGCCGCGUGUGUGAAGAAGGCCUUAUGGUUGUAAAGCACUUUAAGCGAGGAGGAGGCUACUGAGACUAAUACUCUUGGAUAGUGGACGUUACUCGCAGAAUAAGCACCGGCUAACUCUGUGCCAGCCGCCGCAGUAAGAC
rnacentral:rRNA from 1 species